rnacentral:ncRNA from 1 species
AUCGGCAAAACCGUCGAAAGGCGGUGACGCAAAGCAAUAGUGUCUAAACGGCGUUGCGCCGCAUGGCAGACUGGCUGC